AAAUUGAAGAGUUUGAUCAUGGCUCAGAUUGAACGCUGGCGGCAGGCCUAACACAUGCAAGUCGAACGGUAACAGGAAGAAGCUUGCUUCUUUGCUGACGAGUGGCGGACGGGUGAGUAAUGUCUGGGAAACUGCCUGAUGGAGGGGGAUAACUACUGGAAACGGUAGCUAAUACCGCAUAACGUCGCAAGACCAAAGAGGGGGACCUUCGGGCCUCUUGCCAUAGGAUGUGCCCAGAUGGGAUUAGCUAGUAGGUGGGGUAACGGCUCACCUAGGCGACGAUCCCUAGCUGGUCUGAGAGGAUGACCAGCCACACUGGAACUGAGACACGGUCCAGACUCCUACGGGAGGCAGCAGUGGGGAAUAUUGCACAAUGGGCGCAAGCCUGAUGCAGCCAUGCCGCGUGUAUGAAGAAGGCCUUCGGGUUGUAAAGUACUUUCAGCGGGGAGGAAGGGAGUAAAGUUAAUACCUUUGCUCAUUGACGUUACCCGCAGAAGAAGCACCGGCUAACUCCGUGCCAGCAGCCGCGGUAAUACGGAGGGUGCAAGCGUUAAUCGGAAUUACUGGGCGUAAAGCGCACGCAGGCGGUUUGUUAAGUCAGAUGUGAAAUCCCCGGGCUCAACCUGGGAACUGCAUCUGAUACUGGCAAGCUUGAGUCUCGUAGAGGGGGUAGAAUUCCGGUGUAGCGGUGAAAUGCGUAGAGAUCUGGAGGAAUACCGGUGGCGAAGGCGGCCCCCUGGACGAAGACUGACGCUCAGGUGCGAAAGCGUGGGGAGCAAACAGGAUUAGAUACCCUGGUAGUCCACGCCGUAAACGAUGUCGACUUGGAGGUUGUGCCCUUGAGGCGUGGCUUCCGGAGCUAACGCGUUAAGUCGACCGCCUGGGGAGUACAGUACCGCAAGGUUAAAACUCAAAUGAAUUGACGGGGGCCCGCACAAGCGGUGGAGCAUGUGGUUUAAUUCGAUGCAACGCGAAGAACCUUACCUGGUCUUGACAUCCACGGAAGUUUUCAGAGAUGAGAAUGUGCCUUCGGGAACCGUGAGACAGGUGCUGCAUGGCUGUCGUCAGCUCGUGUUGUGAAAUGUUGGGUUAAGUCCCGCAACGAGCGCAACCCUUAUCCUUUGUUGCCAGCGGUCCGGCUGGGAACUCAAAGGAGACUGCCAGUGAUAAACUGGAGGAAGGUGGGGAUGACGUCAAGUCAUCAUGGCCCUUACGACCAGGGCUACACACGUGCUACAAUGGCGCAUACAAAGAGAAGCGACCUCGCGAGAGCAAGCGGACCUCAUAAAGUGCGUCGUAGUCCGGAUUGGAGUCUGCAACUCGACUCCAUGAAGUCGGAAUCGCUAGUAAUCGUGGAUCAGAAUGCCACGGUGAAUACGUUCCCGGGCCUUGUACACACCGCCCGUCACACCAUGGGAGUGGGUUGCAAAAGAAGUAGGUAGCUUAACCUUCGGGAGGGCGCUUACCACUUUGUGAUUCAUGACUGGGGUGAAGUCGUAACAAGGUAACCGUAGGGGAACCUGCGGUUGGAUCACCUCCUUA
rnacentral:rRNA from 1 species